CGUAGGGACCAAGCGUUGUUCGGAUUUACUGGGCGUAAAGGGCGCGUAGGCGGCUUGACAAGUCACUUGUGAAAUCUCCGGGCUUAACUCGGAACGGCCAAGUGAAACUGUCAUGCUAGAGUGCAGAAGGGGCAAUCGGAAUUCUUGGUGUAGCGGUGAAAUGCGUAGAUAUCAAGAGGAACACCUGAGGUGAAGACGGGUUGCUGGGCUGACACUGACGCUGAGGCGCGAAAGCCAGGGGAGCAAACGGGAUUAGAUACCCCGGUAGUCCUGGCCCUAAACGAUGAAUACUUGGUGUCUGGAGUAAAUAGUGCUCCGGGUGCCGUCGCUAACGUUUUUAGUAUUCCGCCUGGGGAGUACGCUCGCAAGAGUG
rnacentral:rRNA from 1 species